rnacentral:rRNA from 1 species
GACGAACGCUGGCGGCGUGCUUAACACAUGCAAGUCGAACGGAAAGGCCCUGCUUUUGUGGGGUGCUCGAGUGGCGAACGGGUGAGUAACACGUGAGUAACCUGCCCUUGACUUUGGGAUAACUUCAGGAAACUGGGGCUAAUACCGGAUAGGAGCUCCUGCUGCAUGGUGGGGGUUGGAAAGUUUCGGCGGUUGGGGAUGGACUCGCGGCUUAUCAGCUUGUUGGUGGGGUAGUGGCUUACCAAGGCUUUGACGGGUAGCCGGCCUGAGAGGGUGACCGGCCACAUUGGGACUGAGAUACGGCCCAGACUCCUACGGGAGGCAGCAGUGGGGAAUAUUGCACAAUGGGCGGAAGCCUGAUGCAGCAACGCCGCGUGCGGGAUGACGGCCUUCGGGUUGUAAACCGCUUUCGCCUGUGACGAGGCGUGAGUGGCGGUAAUGGGUAAAGAAGCACCAGCUAACUACGUG